UUCGGGUAAAGUUUACACACGAUAUUCCCGCGCCACGUGGGCACGUGGCGGCUGAUAUCUACAGACUUUUCUCCAACAAAACCAAAAGCAAAAGCAGAAAUAAGCGUAAUUCCUUCUCCGUCGGUUAGUACCGGCGCUAGAAAAAGGACACUGACUCGUUACCAAACGCUAACACUCAAACUACAAAGACACACAGACUUUGUGCGUCGGUUUGUGGGGUUUCAUUUAAUUUUCCCCUCUCAAGUUUUUGUUUGUUUGUUUUUCUGCAGUAUUUGAACUGCGAUUUCCGGUUUUCGAGGCUUCACUGUUUCAUCUGUUUCUUCGAUCACAUUUGAAUGUGAAUAUGGAGCACUGAAUAGUAUUAUUCUGCUUAUCCGAUUGGGAGGCUCUAUCCGAAUCUCAGUUUGCUUGCUUUCCAGGGACAACCUAGAAGACGGAAGGAGGAUGGAACAGUGAGAAGCUGUGCUUGUUGUUUUAGUUUUUUUCAUAUGAUUGUGAAUCUCCAGAAUCCACAUAUUGUUUUUAAUAUGAUCGUGGUGGCUUAACAGAGUUAAGAAGGGGGA